rnacentral:rRNA from 1 species
GAAGCUGCUAUACGGUGGAUGCCUUGGCAGUCAUAUUCGAUGAAAGACGUGGUAGCCUGCGAAAAGCUUCGGGGAGUCGGCAAACAGACUAGAUCCGGAGAUGUCUGAAUGGGGGAACCCACCUAACAUAAGUUAGGUAUCUUAAGCUGAAUACAUAGGCUUAAGAAGCGAACCAGGGGAACUGAAACAUCUAAGGUACC